GGCGGACGGGUGAGUAAUGCUUAGGAAUCUGCCUAGUAGUGGGGGAUAGCCCGGGCAAACCCGGAUUAAUACCGCAUACGUCCUACGGGAGAAAGCAGGGGAUCUUCGGACCUUGCGCUAUUAGAUGAGCCUAAGUCGGAUUAGCUAGUUGGUGAGGUAAAGGCUUACCAAGGCGACGAUCCGUAGCUGGUCUGAGAGGAUGAUCAGCCACAUCGGGACUGAGACACGGCCCGUACUCCUACGGGAGGCAGCAGUGGGGAAUAUUGGACAAUGGGGGCAACCCUGAUCCAGCCAUGCCGCGUGUGUGAAGAAGGCUUUCGGGUUGUAAAGCACUUUCAGUAAGGAGGAAAACCUUAAGGUUAAUACCCUUAAGGCUCGACGUUACUUACAGAAGAAGCACCGGCUAACUCCGUGCCAGCAGCCGCGGUAAUACGGAGGGUGCAAGCGUUAAUCGGAAUUACUGGGCGUAAAGCGCGCGCAGGUGGUUUGUUAAGCGAGAUGUGAAAGCCCCGGGCUUACCUGGGACGGCAUUUCGAACUGGCAGCUAGAGUGUGGUAGAGGGUAGUGGAAUUCCUGUGUAGCGGUGAAUGCGUAGAUAUAGGAAGGAACACCAGUGGCGAAGCGGCUAC
rnacentral:rRNA from 1 species